rnacentral:rRNA from 1 species
GGUCAAGUGAAGAAGCGCAUACGGUGGAUGCCUUGGCAGUCAGAGGCGAUGAAAGACGUGGUAGCCUGCGAAAAGCUUCGGGGAGUCGGCAAACAGACUUUGAUCCGGAGAUCUCUGAAUGGGGGAACCCACCUAGGAUAACCUAGGUAUCUUGUACUGAAUCCAUAGGUGCAAGAGGCGAACCAGGGGAACUGAAACAUCUAAGUACCCUGAGGAAAAGAAAUCAACCGAGAUUCCCUUAGUAGUGGCGAGCGAACGGGGAUUAGCCCUUAAGCUUCAUUGAUUUUAGCGGAACGCUCUGGAAAGUGCGGCCAUAGUGGGUGAUAGCCCCGUACGCGAAAGGAUCUUUGAAGUGAAAUCGAGUAGGACGGAGCACGAGAAACUUUGUCUGAACAUGGGGGGACCAUCCUCCAAGGCUAAAUACUACUGACUGACCGAUAGUGAACCAGUACCGUGAGGGAAAGGCGAAAAGAACCCCGGAGAGGGGAGUGAAAUAGAACCUGAAACCGUAUGCGUACAAGCAGUGGGAGCCUACUUGUUAGGUGACUGCGUACCUUUUGUAUAAUGGGUCAGCGACUUAUAUUCAGUGGCAAGCUUAACCGUAUAGGGUAGGCGUAGCGAAAGCGAGUCUUAAUAGGGCGUUUAGUCGCUGGGUAUAGACCCGAAACCGGGCGAUCUAUCCAUGAGCAGGUUGAAGGUUAGGUAACACUGACUGGAGGACCGAACCCACUCCCGUUGAAAAGGUAGGGGAUGACUUGUGGAUCGGAGUGAAAGGCUAAUCAAGCUCGGAGAUAGCUGGUUCUCCUCGAAAGCUAUUUAGGUAGCGCCUCAUGUAUCACUCUGGGGGGUAGAGCACUGUUUCGGCUAGGGGGUCAUCCCGACUUACCAAACCGAUGCAAACUCCGAAUACCCAGAAGUGCCGAGCAUGGGAGACACACGGCGGGUGCUAACGUCCGUCGUGAAAAGGGAAACAACCCAGACCGCCAGCUAAGGUCCCAAAGUUGUGGUUAAGUGGUAAACGAUGUGGGAAGGCUUAGACAGCUAGGAGGUUGGCUUAGAAGCAGCCACCCUUUAAAGAAAGCGUAAUAGCUCACUAGUCGAGUCGGCCUGCGCGGAAGAUGUAACGGGGCUCAAACCACACACCGAAGCUGCGGGUGUCACGUAAGUGACGCGGUAGAGGAGCGUUCUGUAAGCCUGUGAAGGUGAGUUGAGAAGCUUGCUGGAGGUAUCAGAAGUGCGAAUGCUGACAUGAGUAACGACAAUGGGUGUGAAAAACACCCACGCCGAAAGACCAAGGGUUCCUGCGCAACGUUAAUCGACGCAGGGUUAGUCGGUUCCUAAGGCGAGGCUGAAAAGCGUAGUCGAUGGGAAACAGGUUAAUAUUCCUGUACUUCUGGUUACUGCGAUGGAGGGACGGAGAAGGCUAGGCCAGCUUGGCGUUGGUUGUCCAAGUUUAAGGUGGUAGGCUGAAAUCUUAGGUAAAUCCGGGGUUUCAAGGCCGAGAGCUGAUGACGAGUCGUCUUUUAGAUGACGAAGUGGUUGAUGCCAUGCUUCCAAGAAAAGCUUCUAAGCUUCAGGUAACCAGGAACCGUACCCCAAACCGACACAGGUGGUCGGGUAGAGAAUACCAAGGCGCUUGAGAGAACUCGGGUGAAGGAACUAGGCAAAAUGGCACCGUAACUUCGGGAGAAGGUGCGCCGGCUAGGGUGAAGGAUUUACUCCGUAAGCUCUGGCUGGUCGAAGAUACCAGGCCGCUGCGACUGUUUAUUAAAAACACAGCACUCUGCAAACACGAAAGUGGACGUAUAGGGUGUGACGCCUGCCCGGUGCCGGAAGGUUAAUUGAUGGGGUUAGCGCAAGCGAAGCUCUUGAUCGAAGCCCCGGUAAACGGCGGCCGUAACUAUAACGGUCCUAAGGUAGCGAAAUUCCUUGUCGGGUAAGUUCCGACCUGCACGAAUGGCGUAACGAUGGCGGCGCUGUCUCCACCCGAGACUCAGUGAAAUUGAAAUCGCUGUGAAGAUGCAGUGUAUCCGCGGCUAGACGGAAAGACCCCGUGAACCUUUACUGUAGCUUUGCACUGGACUUUGAGCCUGCUUGUGUAGGAUAGGUGGGAGGCUUUGAAGCGUGGACGCCAGUUCGCGUGGAGCCAUCCUUGAAAUACCACCCUGGCAUGCUUGAGGUUCUAACUCUGGUCCGUAAUCCGGAUCGAGGA